rnacentral:ncRNA from 14 species
AGGGCUAUAGCUCAGCGGUAGAGCGCCUCGUUUACACCGAGAAUGUCUACGGUUCAAAUCCGUAUAGCCCUA